UAUAGGGCGUAGGAGGGUUCAAUACUCAUGAUGUCAAAGUCUAAAUAUGAGGGGCUGUAGGAGGGUUCAAUACUCAUGAUGUCAAAGUCUAAAUAUGAGGGGCUGUAGGAGGGUUCAAUACUCAUGAUGUCAAAGUCUAAAUAUGAGGGGCUGUAGGAGGGGGUUCAAUACUCAUGAUGUCAAAGUCUAAAUAUGAGGGUUGUAGGAGGGUUCAAUACUCAUGAUGUCAAAGUCUAAACAUGAGGGGCUGUAGGAGGGUUCAAUACUCAUGAUGUCAAAGUCUAAAUAUGAGGAGGCUGUAUUCUCCAAUUUGACAUUUUGUUAUGUCAACUUUCUCUAUUCUUUAAUUUUUCAUGGUAUUUUUUUCCCCUUUUCAUUUUUUUGCGAUUUCUUCUUUGUUUUUUAUAUUUUAUACCCACUUUUCAAUAAUCUAUAUAUUUUCAGCCCAUUAUUCUCUAUUUUGAAAUCCCCAUCAAGACCUAAUUUGGAUUAUAAGACAAAACAAUACUACAGAUUGCUUGAAUAUUGAACUAAACCACUGUUGUGAUGAUAAUGAUAAAAUACCCUACUGUUGCAUUGAUAAUAUAAUAAAUUGCAUUGAUUGAAACUCAAAUAACAUAUUAAUACACAUAAAAUCAUAAACAUAUUCACUAACAUGCAGACAAAAUGAAAUUAAAAAAUAAUUGUUUCUCUUUAAAAAUAUAUCUUUUUGUCAAUACACCUUGAAAACAUGCCUAAUACAACCGCUACAUGGCACUACAAUUAAUUCGUAUAAGAAAGUUUUACAAGGAUUAUGAAAAUUAACAGUGGCGGAUCCAGGGGGGGUGUUCUGGGGGUUGAAACCUCACUUUUUUUGGACGAUCAAUGCAUUUAAAUUGGGACAUGUUUUUGGAACGCCCCUUUGUCCUGGGUUGGGAACCCCCUUUUUAAAAUGGCUGGAUCCGCCCCUGAUUAAUAUGACAUCUUUCAGUUACAAGUGAAUUAAUUAUAUUUUGUAAAGCAAGUUAGUUUUUGAAUUAAAAUUUUGAAUCAUUUGAAUUAUCUAAGCUGUUUUGUUUAAGGAGAUCUGAUAAUUUCACAUAUGUUUUGUUGUAAAUUUUUAUUUAAAUCUUUCAUAGUAAAGAAAUAUAUCUCCAACACAAACUAUAAAUCUUGAACAUGUUGCCAUAUGAAGAUUGGAUGUUUUUCACUGUAGGUUUUCUUUAAAAAUUUACAGUAUGGUGAAUAUCUACUACGACAACUAAAUUUAAACAAUAUGGACUGUUCCCUCAAUGAAUUAUGACUUGAGUCUUAGUACAUUUCUACAAUAUAAUACUAAAAUUUACUAACUUAAGGAUGUACUUAGGUGAGGUUAGGUAAAAAUUAAUGAAUUAAGAAUUUGAAAUUGAUACUAUAAGCUGGUAGAGCAUUCGUUAAGGAUACAAAUAAGCUAAAAAAAAAUAUAGGUCAUGAACCUCCUUUUCGAGAUAUUUGAGAUUCAAAAUAUGGCGGGAAAAGACUGACUCAGACUUUUACCUUAUAUUUGCAUUGGUAUUAUUGGGGUCUCAAAACAAAAUAAAUAAAAUUAAGAAUCUUCUAAAAUUUUGGUAAAUGACCUUUCAUGAGCUAUUAAGAUAUAUUGAAAAAUGGGUGUUAUGGGGCAAAAUAUUUUACCUGGCAUUGUAUGGAAGAACCCAAGGAGUCUGAACAUUUGACACAAAUUCCCAAACCUCACCUUAGUACAUCCUUAAGUUUUUGUAUAACUUUUGGUAUGAAAAAGUUUGGUAAAUUUCCAUAAGCAUCUGAACAGGUAAAUUCAGGAAAUAGUAAUUAGCAAUAUGAAAAAGAACAUGCAAGGAAAAAGCAAGGGGGCAAACAAAAUUAGUAAGUUAAAAAAAAAGACAGUAAACACCAUGACCAAAAUUAAAAAGCUGAAAAUACAGACCACAAAACACUUAAAGAUGGUAGAAGCCCUGGAUGUGUACUCCAGUGUGCAAAAAAGAAAAAUCAGUUCUUAAAUGAUAAUUUUAGAGUCAAAUUAUGGGUACAAGUUUGGGGAAAUAAACAUACAGUAUUAAUAGAAAGUUUACAACUUUUAUAAAGUGAACA
rnacentral:lncRNA from 1 species